rnacentral:rRNA from 1 species
UACGUAGGGGGCGAGCGUUGUCCGGAGUUACUGGGCGUAAAGGGCAUGCAGGCGGUCGGACGCGUUUUGUGUGACAGCGGGUGGCUCAACUACCCGAGCAUGCGAAGGACGGUCGGACUUGAGGACUCGAGAGGGACACGGAAUUCCGGGUGGAGUGGUGAAAUGCGUAGAGAUCCGGAGGAACACCGAAGGCGAAGGCAGUGUCCUGGCGAGUGACUGACGCUGAGGUGCGAAAGCCAGGGGAGCGAACGGG